AACAAGGCGUACCUGCGGACCUGCGGAGGGAUCAUUACGAGAGUGUCACCACUCCCAACCCAUUGUUUACCUACCCGUCCACCGUGCUUCGGCAGGCAGCCCUGUGGGACAGAGCCUCGCCCCCUUUCGCGGGGGGUGCCUGCCGCUUGCCAACCAAAACUCUAGCUGUUUUAGUACCAUCUGAGUCUUCCACAAAUGAACAAAACUUUCAACAACGGAUCUCAGAUCGGAAGAGCACAC
rnacentral:misc_RNA from 1 species